GGGCCGCCCGGCCUCACCUCCGUGCCCGCCCCGUCGGCCCUGGCCCGCCCCCGCUGCCUGCGCGCCCCGCGCCGUCCGUCCGAGCGCACGCGCCGUCCCCCGGCGGGGCCCGCGGCCGGCCCCUCCCUCCCCGCGCGGCCGGCGAGGGCUGCGGGGUGGGGGGGGGGGGCGCGGCCCCGGGCUCGGGAGCGUGCACCGUGCACUGCGCACUGGCCCCGGGCCGGACUCUGGGCAAAGCCGCUCCCCGGGGACCGGCGGGCGGGGGGAGGGGGCGAGCCUGGACGCGCUGAGGUUCCACGAGGCAGGAUGUGCCGUGGUUCCCGAAGUGUGGGUUUCCUUAUCUGUCCUCUUGACGGACCUCUGGGCUGUUCCAGUCUCUUGCGACAGAGCGUCCGGAAACACUCCUACCGCGGCCUCGCGGGCAGCCCAAUCGAGGGAUGUUGGUCCAGCUCUCCCAGGGCACCGGCAGCGUUAGAUGCUGUCAGUCUUUUCAGUGUUGGCCAUCCAGUGCGCAUGCACUAGCUGUCACCGGAGUUUUCUCUGCGUGUGUCUGAUGCUUCACGAAGGUGACCAUGUUUCAUGCACUCGUUGGCCACUUGAAUAUCUUCUUUUGCAAAUUGUCUGUUCCACUCUAUUGCUAAUUAAAAAACAAAACCACGUUGUCUUAUCAUUGAAUCACGCAUUCUUUAUAUAUUUG